rnacentral:rRNA from 1 species
AACGCGAAGAACCUUACCUACCCUUGACAUGGUUGGAAUCUUUGAGAGAUCAGAGAGUGCUCGCAAGAGAACCAAUACACAGGUGCUGCAUGGCUGUCGUCAGCUCGUGUCGUGAGAUGUUGGGUUAAGUCCCGCAACGAGCGCAACCCUUGUCAUUAAUUGCCAUCAUUUGGUUGGGCACUUUAAUGAGACUGCCGGUGACAAACCGGAGGAAGGUGGGGAUGACGUCAAGUCCUCAUGGCCCUUAUGGGUAGGGCUUCACACGUCAUACAAUGGUACAUACAGAGGGUUGCCAAGCCGCGAGGUGGAGCUAAUCCCAGAAAGUGUAUCGUAGUCCGGAUUGGAGUCUGCAACUCGACUCCAUGAAGUUGGAAUCGCUAGUAAUCGCGGAUCAGCAUGUCGCGGUGAAUACGUUCCCGGGCCUUGUA